GGGCAUGUGGCUUAGUGGUAGAGUGCUUGCCUAGAGUGCAUGAAACCCUGGGUUCGAUUCCUCAGUACCA
rfam:Dipodomys ordii contig_32878, whole genome shotgun sequence.